rnacentral:rRNA from 1 species
CAACCCAUUUUUAUUAAAGAGCAAUUCUAUAUCUUUAUAGAAGAUUUAAUGUUAAAACUAGUAAUAAGAAGCAGACCCUUCUCUUUAAUGUAAACUUAUAUCAGCAAGGACACCNCCACUGAUCUUUAACGUCCCUAAAAUUAUAGUAAAAACUUAACAAGAAAACAUUACUCUUAUUUACGUUAACCUUACACAAGAACAUUUUAAGAAAGAUUAAAAGGAAAAGAAGGAACUCGGCAAAUAUUAGCCCCGCCUGUUUACCAAAAACAUCGCCUCUUGACAAUUUAUAAGAGGUCCAGCCUGCCCAGUGACUCUGUUCAACGGCCGCGGUAUCCUAACCGUGCGAAGGUAGCGUAAUCACUUGUUCUUUAAAUGAGGACUAGUAUGAAUGGCCCCACGAAGGCUACACUGUCUCCUUUUCCUAAUCAAUGAAACUAAUCUUCCCGUGAAGAAGCGGGAAUAAUAAUAUAAGACGAGAAGACCCUAUGGAGCUUUAAACUAUAGAAACAUUUGCUUUAUACCUUUAACCCUCCCGAGAUUUNCCCAAAUAUUUAAGCAAUUUUUAUUUCUAGUUUUAGGUUGGGGUGACCACGGAGUAAAAUACAACCUCCUCGAUGAAAGAGAUUUUCUCUUAGCUAAAAGCUACCUCUUUAAGCACCAACAAAUUGACUCUCAUUGACCCAAUUAAUUGAUCAACGAACCAAGUUACCCUAGGGAUAACAGCGCAAUCUACCUCGAGAGCUCAUAUCGACAGGUGGGUUUACGACCUCGAUGUUGGAUCAGGGUAUC